UACGUAGGGUGCAAGCGUUAAUCGGAAUUACUGGGCGUAAAGCGUGCGCAGGCGGUUAUGUAAGACAGAUGUGAAAUCCCCGGGCUUAACCUGGGAACUGCAUUUGUGACUGCAUAGCUAGAGUACGGUAGAGGGGGAUGGAAUUCCGCGUGUAGCAGUGAAAUGCGUAGAUAUGCGGAGGAACACCGAUGGCGAAGGCAAUCCCCUGGACCUGUACUGACGCUCAUGCACGAA
rnacentral:rRNA from 1 species